rnacentral:rRNA from 1 species
GACGAACGCUGGCGGCGUGCUUAACACAUGCAAGUCGAACGAAAAGGCCCUGCUUUUGUGGGGUGCUCGAGUGGCGAACGGGUGAGUAACACGUGAGUAACCUGCCCUUGACUUUGGGAUAACUUCAGGAAACUGGGGCUAAUACCGGAUAGGAGCUCCUGCUGCAUGUUGUGGGUUGGAAAGUUUCGGCGGUUGGGGAUGGACUCGCGGCUUAUCAGCUUGUUGGUGGGGUAGUGGCUUACCAAGGCUUUGACGGGUAGCCGACCUGAGAGGGUGACCGGCCACAUUGGGACUGAGAUACGGCCCAGACUCCUACGGGAGGCAGCAGUGGGGAAUAUUGCACAAUGGGCGGAAGCCUGAUGCAGCAACGCCGCGUGCGGGAUGACGGCCUUCGGGUUGUAAACCGCUUUCGCCUGUGACGAAGAGUGAGUGACGGUAAUGGGUAAAGAAGCACCGGCUAACUACGUG